AUUGAACGCUGGCGGCAGGCCUAACACAUGCAAGUCGAGCGGCAGCGGAAAGUAGCUUGCUACUUUGCCGGCGAGCGGCGGACGGGUGAGUAAUGUCUGGGAAACUGCCUGAUGGAGGGGGAUAACUACUGGAAACGGUAGCUAAUACCGCAUAACGUCGCAAGACCACAGAGGGGGACCUUUGGGCCCCUUGCCAUCAGAUGUGCCCAGAUGGGAUUAGCUAGUAGGUGGGGUAACGGCUCACCGAGGCGACGAUCCCUAGCUGGUCUGAGAGGAUGACCAGCCACACUGGAACUGAGACACGGUCCAGACUCCUACGGGAGGCAGCAGUGGGGAAUAUUGCACAAUGGGCGCAAGCCUGAUGCAGCCAUGCCGCGUGUAUGAAGAAGGCCUUCGGGUUGUAAAGUACUUUCAGCGGGGAGGAAGGUGUUGAGGUUAAUAACCUCAGCAAUUGACGUUACCCGCAGAAGAAGCACCGGCUAACUCCGUGCCAGCCGCCGCGGUAAGAC
rnacentral:rRNA from 1 species